GAUGAAGAACGUAGCGAAAUGCGAUAAGUAAUGUGAAUUGCAGAAUUCAGUGAAUCAUCGAAUCUUUGAACGCACAUUGCGCCCGCCAGCAUUCUGGCGGGCAUGCCUGUUCGAGCGUCAUUUCAACCCUCGAGCCCCCCCGGGGGCCUCGGUGUUGGGGGACGGCACACCAGCCGCCCCCGAAAUGCAGUGGCGACCCCGCCGCAGCCUCCCCUGCGUAGUAGCACACACCUCGCACCGGAGCGCGGAGGCGGUCACGCCGUAAAACGCCCAACUUUCUUAGAGUUGACCUCGGAUCAAGUAGGAAUACCCGCUGAACUUAAGCAUAUCAAUAAGCGGAGGA
rnacentral:misc_RNA from 1 species